UACGUAGGGGGCGAGCGUUGUCCGGAAUCAUUGGGCGUAAAGCGCGUGUAGGCGGCUCGGUAAGUCUGCUGUGAAAGUCCAGGGCUCAACCCUGGCAUGCCGGUGGAUACUGUCGAGCUCGAGUCCGGAAGAGGCGAGUGGAAUUCCUGGUGUAGCGGUGAAAUGCGCAGAUAUCAGGAGGAACACCAAUGGCGAAGGCAGCUCGCUGGGACGUGACUGACGCUGAGACGCGAAAGCGUGGGGAGCAAACAGG
rnacentral:rRNA from 1 species